UACGUAGGUGACCAGCGUUGUCCGGAUUUACUGGGCGUAAAGAGCGCGCAGGCGGUCGUCCAAGUCGAGUGUGAAAGCCCCCGGCUCAACUGGGGAGGGUCACUCGAUACUGAUCGACUUGAAGGCAGGAGAGGGAAGCGGAAUUCCCGGUGUAGUGGUGAAAUGCGUAGAUAUCGGGAGGAACACCAGUGGCGAAGGCGGCUUCCUGGCCUGUUCUUGACGCUGAGGCGCGAAAGCUAGGGGAGCAAACGGG
rnacentral:rRNA from 1 species